rnacentral:rRNA from 1 species
UACGUAGGUGGCAAGCGUUGUCCGGAAUUAUUGGGCGUAAAGCGCGCGCAGGCGGUCCCUUAAGUCUGAUGUGAAAGCCCACGGCUCAACCGUGGAGGGUCAUUGGAAACUGGGGGACUUGAGCGCAGAAGAGGAAAGUGGAAUUCCAUGUGUAGCGGUGAAAUGCGUAGAGAUGUGGAGGAACACCAGUGGCGAAGGCGACUUUCUGGUCUGUAACUGACGCUGAGGCGCGAAAGCGUGGGGAGCAAACAGG